UUUAGCAUAACCAAUCUGACUUUGUCUAUGUUUUUUUUCUAGAAAUUCUAAGCAGCCUUCUUACUUACUCUCAGCUUGUAAUCACUUACAGUAUUUUCAGCACAGGAGUGCAUCUAGAUUUGCUUGAUGUUUGACAUUGAGCUGUGGCCAUAUUUUCAGUAAUAGAGUGAAACUGAAACCCAGAUUUGUCCCCUUCACUCUGUUGGUAUAUUGCUUAGAAAGAAGCCUCAAAACACCUCAUCCUACAGUGUGGAUAGGCCUAUCUACUUUGUCUAAAGGCACAUAGAUGUGUUGAUCAUUCAAGGAGAACUCAUCUAAAACCAUCUCAACUUCUUUGAAGGCUAAGGCACAAAGAUAAGAGUAACUGAGCCAGGUGACAUCAUAUGAAUCAUGAAGGAGACUUGGUUUCUUCAUCCUCAAAAGGAGACUACUUAAGAAUGUCUGACAGUCUUUUCCUCAACUACAGGGUAUAAUUCUCAGAAAGACUAGUGCAUGGAGGUACUGCUUUGCUCUAAUGAUGGAUUAUAUGUUGUUGAAUCAUUGGCCAAAGGAGUCCCAUAGACUGCUCCCCAACAUCACAGGCUAUUAACAAGGCUAUUGAUUACUCUCCAUAAA